rnacentral:rRNA from 1 species
UAGGGAAUCUUCCGCAAUGGGCGAAAGCCUGACGGAGCAACGCCGCGUGAGCGAGGAAGGCCUUCGGGUCGUAAAGCUCUGUUGUGAGGGAAGAAAAGCUGCAGGAGUAACUGACUGCAGGUUGACGGUACCUCACGAGGAAGCCCCGGCUAACUACGUGCCAGCAGCCGCGGUAAUACGUAGGGGGCGAGCGUUGUCCGGAAUUAUUGGGCGUAAAGCGCGCGCAGGCGGUUCACUAAGUCUGAUGUGAAAGCCCCCGGCUUAACCGGGGAGGGUCAUUGGAAACUGGUGGACUUGAGUGCAGGAGAGGAGAGUGGAAUUCCACGUGUAGCGGUGAAAUGCGUAGAGAUGUGGAGGAACACCAGUGGCGAAGGCGGCUCUCUGGCCUGUAACUGACGCUGAGGCGCGAAAGCGUGGGGAGCAAACAGG